rnacentral:rRNA from 1 species
UACGUAGGGGGCUAGCGUUGUCCGGAUUUAUUGGGCGUAAAGAGCGUGUAGGCGGCCAGGCAGGUCUGCUGUGAAAACUCGAGGCUCAACCUCGAGACGUCGGCGGAAACCAUCUGGCUAGAGUCCGGAAGAGGAGAGUGGAAUUCCUGGUGUAGCGGUGAAAUGCGCAGAUAUCAGGAGGAACAUCCGUGGCGAAGGCGGCUCUCUGGGACGGUACUGACGCUGAGACGCGAAAGCGUGGGGAGCGAACAGG